CUCCCCUAUUUAUAUACCAGUCUCUCACUCAAACCACUCCCUGGUUGCUAAGGUAAUUUGAACCCUAGCGACCAGAUAUCUCAAAAGCUUCUGAACAAGAAUUAAAAUAACUAAAAAAACUACAAAUAAAAAAUGAAGACCAAUUGCAAAGUGUCUCAGAUUAUCACUCUCUAUAUCAUAACUAAAAGUUAACUCAAGGGUGAACAGCCCCAGCACAAAGUCAUUUGACUCCGCCCCCAGGUGCAGGUUUGGGUGUGUCCCUUCUAGCCCCUCCCAGUUGGUGAUUGCCCAUGUCCCGCCCCUCUAGUGAUGUAAUCAGCUCUAAUAUUAGUAGUAUUAGUACAGUAUUUGCCGGCUGUAGGCAGGGGGGGCGGCACAGGUCUGAAAAAUCCCAGACUCCCCAAAACAGCUUUAUACCAUAUGGACCUCCCUCCAGGGCGGAGUUUCAGCCAAGGGAACACCCCCAAAGUUCUAACCUACCUGAAUAUCCAAUGUGCAUUGUGACAGGGACACCCAGUACCAAAUGGGGCCCAGAGGCCCUUCCCACAGACCCACCCCCCAGCAGGACCAAUCAGUGCCCUUUGUACAGAGAUGGGGGCGGGGCUCCAACUCCAUGUGCCAAACACGUGUUGCCUCUCUGAUCUCCCCCCCCCCAGGGUAAAUACUGCCCCAGUCCAUUGUGUAAAUGUGAUUGGUCCCAGGGACUGAUGGGAAUGAUGAAUGUGUCAAAUCUCUGUAAAUAAAGCAUAAUAAACAAAGGUUUGUUGGAA